AGUAGACACCAGCACACAGCAUUUCCAGUUCUUUACCAUGGCCAAUUCUAGAGGUGGUAAGGGGCCGGAAAAGGCUUAAGAUUCCCGGUAUGGAAGCUAGAAUGCCCCGUAAGAAGCUCUCGCUCUUGAAUCUUCACUGUCUCAACAGAGCAGGUGAUGUGAAAAUAAAUCAGCGAGGAAGAUGUUCAGAGGAAAAGGAGGCUCUAGCUGCGACCCAAUCAAUUGGCAGUUGUUAAGCCUGGCUAUACAGCCCUGCAUACUGAAGGUGCCGUCGGCAAGGAACAGUCUUCAGAAAUGGCGUAGAGAAUGCCAGGUAUCCGAGUUUCAGCCCUACUGUCCCAUCUUCCAAAACACCUUCUAUCCAGUCCUGGUGCUCUUUCUUCCCAUUACGUUCUACUCUGGAUAAAGACUGCCACUACCUCAUCACAUACAGAAGUAACUCACACCUUAAGCCCCUUCCUGCCCUCCACUACAGAAGAAAGGAACGCAGAGGAAACUGCCCUGAAGAGUAUCUAAAGCUCUGCCACACGCUGCACUCUCUGCCCUUGCUCAGUUAUCUGGCGGACCACAUCUGGCUCGCAGAUAUGACAUCAUGUUCUGAGUCACCAGCAAGGAGACCACCUAUGGACAUGGACCAGUUCUGUUCUCUGCUUCCCAAGACAGAGUCUGGAGUGAGUUAGACACUUGCUCUCCAUUAGAGGGAAAGAUGCCAUGGAUAUGAAAAAACAAUUCCACAUCUCUUCACGGCUCUAAGAAGUGUGACGUCAUAAGCAUAAAGUACUGGCUGAGGACCCGAAUCAGGACAGUGCUUUCUGUACUUAAAUCUCUUCUGCCUUAGCAUCAUUUCUAGACACUCCUCCCUUAACAAGAAGGGCUUUGAAGCAGCAACUGACCACUUGCCCCACUUACUGUCAGGGUCAUGGGGACUGUGAUUGAUGGCAUGUUUUGUUGGAUGGGUUGGCGAUUGUCCUUGGCUCACUGAAGAACAUCUGAUGAGUUUAAACUAGUGGUUCCCUCCAGGAUACUUGGCUUAACACAGUAAUCUCAGAUUUAAAAACCCUGCCCCUCCUUGGGAGCCCUAGCCUUACCACCAAUAAGUUAUUAUAUUGCUGUCUAGUAAUUAAGGGUUGAUAGGUGGAUAAGGACUAUUUUAAGCAGGAAAUUCCUCAUAGGAAGUGUGAUUUAUGACAAUGGAAAUAGGCAACAGCACAGUUUAGGAAAAUCUUAUCAAUGUUGUAGUUCAUGAAUGUCUUUCCUCGGGGGUGACACCAAGGGGCCCAACAAAAAUUUUUUACUGUUUUUCAGACUGACUUUACAAACCUCAAUCAAGAGAUCUGAAAUUCUGUAAAACACAUGCUCUUUCCUUAACUUCAAUUUCCUUCGGUAGUUUUAUAGAUCCCCGAGGCCAGGGAGAGCAGAAACAGAUGGCGCUGGGGGUGGGGGGCACUUUUCAGUGUGUGUCUGCAAAGCCGUAAUAAAUUUAAAAGUUUUUUUUUUUUUUUUUUUGUUGUUGUUGUUGCAACCCAGCUUCUGGUAUUAAUCCUGAUGUGAAAUGACCCUUGAUAGAGUACGAUAUAGCUGCUUUUCUAUUUUUUUUUUAAAUCUGGUUUACUAAUCAUUUAAAAAAAAAAACAUUUUCUUCUGGAAAUUCCUAAAAAAUACCCAGUGCCAUCAUCUGGACACGUCUGGAAAGCAGGCUGGCCUGUGUUUGUAUGACACAGCGCUUUUCCCCAGGGACCUCCUUACCCCAUAAACUGUUGUGCUGGUGUGAAAAAAAUACAAGUCAGGUCUGAAGAAAAAAAAAAACCACCCUCUUAAAUCACAGCCAGAAAACAUUCAAAGUUGCAGCCAAGCUUGUUGCUCUGUUUUUUUCUUUAUUUUUAAAAACUUUCCUCCAAUUGGCUAACUUCAUAGACUCCACUUUCUCCCACCAAUGUCAUCAUUCCUUCUAAAAACCGUCUUUUAGUAAUUUUGGCCACUGAGUUAUUUGUUAAUCACUAUCAUUUGAUCAUUGUUAUAGGCAGGCGUGCAGAAUGGCUGUGUUGGAGAUCCAGUGCACAAUUACAAAGGGAUGUUUUCACAUGGGAGCAUCCUACCACCAACUAAGAACCACCAACUAGGAGUCACGGAAGGAUGAGCUGUGCCCUGUCCUGUGGGGAUGAGCCUUCUGGCAAGUCCACAGGAAAAGAAGCUACGGUUGCUUGCAUAAAACAACUCUCCAAACACUGACAAAGGCAGCUGAGGACAGCUGAGGACCAGAAGGCUACAUACAGACACCACUGGCCACUUCCCCAAGCAUGCGGGCAUCAACGUAAAUGCUUAUUUAGUACCCUGGUACUAAAGGAGGGUUAAGCCUCCACAGUUGCUAUGGCUGAGAAACAAACCGUCAAGGACCAGGGAGAAAAGGUGAGGGAAGAAAAGCAAAUGGGACAAAUGUUUGAGGGUCUGGUGGUUAUGGGGGUGGGGGGGGGGGCAGGAAGAGGCUGUUCUGUCCCCUGUGCUUGUUUGUUAAGUCCUUUGCUGGCUGGGUCAUCUCCACUGCCAUGGUGAAGGUAAAGGUAGGAUUCCUACAGAUGAGCUGAAGUGAGGUGGGUGCUAUACCAUGUGAUUAGAACUCUGGGCACUUUUUAAGGAGACAUAAACAGUUUCAUACUUGGUUAAUUUAGGAAGCUGAUCUGGGGCUCUGGGUAAGCUAUGAAAUAACAGGACAAAUGAAAACAGGAAGAUGGCUGCAAGAUGAAAGGAAAGAACUGCCGGGUGUGGUGGCACAUGCCUUUUUUUGGGGGGUGGGGGGUGGCACAUGCCUUUAAUCCCAGCACUCGCGAGGCAGAGGCAGGUGGAUUUCUGAGUUCGAGGCCAGCCUGGUCUACAGAGUAAGUUCCAGGACAGCCAGGGUUAUACGGAGAAACCCUGUCUCGAAAAACCAAAAAAAAAAAAAAAAAAAAAAAAAAAAAAGGAAAGAACUGUAGAGCAAAGAGCUUGUGACACCUGUCAGUAAUAAAUUCAAUGGCCUAUCACUUAGGCAGGAAGCAGGAGGUGGGACAUCCUAUAGGCAGAAAGGAUUUUGGGAGAGUGUCAAGCAAGGGAGAUUUCCCUGGGAAAAUAUGACGGAUAUAGAUGCAUGGUGCUUUAGCACAGAUAACCAGCCACAUGAUAGAAUGCAGCUUAGAAUAAGUGGAUUAUUUUAAGUCAUGAUCUAGUCAAAGAAGAACCUAGCUAUGUGGUCAAGAUAUUUGUAAAUAUAUCUUGAGUCUGAGUCUUAUUUCUGGAAGCAUGGGGCUAGGAGGAAGAAUCAGAACAAACUUCUACAAACAGCCCUCCUGACUGCAAGUAGGAGCAACAGUGGGUACCCAAGAGAAGGUGGAGAAUUCCUCAGCCUGUUGGAAGAAACUGGUGGUUUUUGAAAAUAAAACUGGGACUUCAUUCUCUGGGCUACUAGCUUGUCAUCAGCUAUUUCUCUAUUUAUGACAAUAUGGAUCUAACUUGCAUGAGUCAUGCCUGCUAUGAAAUGUGUCACUGGGAAAACACACUGAGUGUGUGAUAAGUACUUGCUCUCUUUCUUCCCACUAUCUGUGAGCAAGGGUUUCCCCUUCCAUAUGCUAUGAAAAGCAGCCGUGUCUUCACACACACCAAAGGCUGUAAAGGUGAACCCAAACCACGGAGAUGGUAGAAGAUGACUACACGGUCCAGAACCAUAUGUGAGUGCCCAUGGAGCUGACUUAGAAGCAAGGACCUGUGUCUAUAAGUUGCCUGAGUUGUACAAUUCACACCCUGAAACCUGUGAGCUAGAGUGAGAGUCUGAGCCUUUUAAUUUGUUCCACUUGAGAAGCCAUAGAAGCCAUGGGGGCUGGAGGUGGGAAGAGAGGAUGCGUAGGAACUAGAAGGCACCAUGGAGAUGUAGAUAACUUGUUGCCUCACUGUUGCUAGUGACUGAACUGGUCCCCAUCACUGAAGCAUGAUUUUGGCAAGCCUAGCAUCCUCCUCUGUCCAUGUCAUAUAGAAAGAGUUAUCUGAGCUGAAAUUUACCUCUCUGCAUCUUCUACCCGGUUUUUCUUCUGUUUGCAGAAGAUACAGCAGAAGUAUAGACUGAUGUCAUUUAAUGUCCAUCACAACCUGUACCAUAUAAAUGGAUAAACAAAGAAAGACAGCAGCAUUUGGUCCUUGCUGUGGUUGUGCAAUGACUCUUGCGGCAUCAAUGCCUCGGAAAAGCAGCAGUGCAGGACAGCAGACAACAGAGACAUCAGCUGCGGAAGGGCAUGAUUUCUGUCAUCCCUGAAUCCAGUGCCUAGAAACGUGGCUGACACAGAGGAAUCCCAGUAGAUGUUUGUCAGACCAACUGACUAUGCACACAGACCUUGGAAAAGCACCUGAGGGCAAGUGAGUGUUCAACAGCACUAGGAUGACUGGCAUUACGGUGCUUCCAAGACCUUGGCUGCCUGUGGGAGUAGCUCCGCUACUCUCAGCCAAUGCCCCUUUAAGGCCGCAGAGUCCCCCAGCCUCCAAAGCCUGCUUAUACCAUUUUCUGUUCUAUCACCUUGCACACUGCCUACAUUAAGCUUUUUGGCAACUAAGAACAACCCUAUGCAUAUAAUUUAGUCUCAGAAGGAAGUGUUGAGACAGGGAAGGACCGGAUGUAGACUACAUGUAUGUGUGUAGAGGCAUGUAGACUCUGAACUCGACACCAGUGACCUUGCUUUUGGUGGUGACAGAAAGUUAUUACCCACUGUGUCAGGAAUUCUGUGAAGUUAUCUCUACACUCUUGGCCUUGCUUUGGGUGGGGUUUCACUAUGUGUAUUAUACGGCACACGCCAAGCCAGCCAGUGUUGACUGUUGCUACCUACAAUAAGGUACUGCCAUACAUAUACGGUGCUGAUUUUGUUAUGAAAGUCAGAUGAAUAAACAAACUGUAAGAUGAUCACCCAGUUUUUGCCCAACCUUACAAUAGAUAUAAAAUAUUGGCACAAGAGUAAAAACUUCUUAUAUAUGCAUAUAUAUAUAUAUAGUCUGUAGUGUCAAUUGAGAUAUAGAACCUUAGGAAUUGCAAAAUCUCACACACCCGAGAAAUCACUUCUUUCUGAGAUGACUUGAGUUCUAAUAUAACUAGUGGCUGUGCUUAUCAUGAAAUGUCACAAACUGAGCACAGGAGAUCCUGUUACCCCACAAGAAACAGACGGACAGCACCUAUGUUUGACAUCAUGCAUGGCAGUUCUGUCAAGCCCUCGGCUGGAGAGGAGGUUCAUCUGAACACACAUACACUCAUGUAUAUGCACACAUCAGAAUGUGUGACAAGCACUGAAGUGCAGCAUAGUGUUAAGGAAUCAAUCUUUUCCUUGGAUCAGCGAGACUGACAUGUUUUGGACAAGCUAGGAGAACCUCCAGCUGAACUAGCACAGUCCUUCUAUUUCCAAUGACGCUCCAGCUAUGUAAAUACAUCAUCCAAAGUCGCGGUAGUCAGAAAGCAGGAAGGAACAGAGCUCCCAUUAGCAGUUCCCACCGUCCACGAAGGGACCAGAACUGUGAUGGAGCACUGACAUUCAUUUCACGUUGAAUUAAACACGGCACUGGCGUGCGUCUCAGGAGACGAUAUUAAGUUCCGUGUUUGGGUAAUACCAGGAAUUCUACAGGCAGGGGCAGAAUUAUAUUUGGUUGGCUAGAAGCCAACCAUACUUUGCACUUGUCCUAGAAGUAGGUGGUCAAAAACUCAGUUCUUGUCAUCAGACCCACUAGCCACAGUUGCUUAAGUGAUCAGGGGAAGGGGGGGUCUCAAACUCUUCUGUGGUACUCAUUUUGAAGAUAAAAUCGACACAGAGACAUCUGGACACGAAGGGGACUUAAUGUGUACUGAGAGAGGUUCAGUUAGAACUGAGCUUGGGAAAAGCAGGUUCAGGCAGACAUCACAACACAGGGACAGAGCAGCAUUGGGUUUCCCACACAGCAUCAUCAGAGACUGAAGACAUACACUGUCACACACACGAACCAUUUUCCUCUUCCAGAAAAGAAAGUCUUAGAAAUCAAGGCAGGGAGGAGGUAUGUUCCCGGCUCUCUCUGCUCUCUUUAAAACACAUGCUGUAAAUUUUCUAGGCUUCACAGUGUGCGUUUCAAAAGAUACCUUCACGUUCGGUGGAGGGAAGAGCCGGACUCUUGGUGCAUCUGGCUUUCCUGUAAUGGUAUAUAAUGCCCCUGUCUAAUAAAUCUAACCACAUUUUUCUUA